UACGGAGGGAGCUAGCGUUGUUCGGAAUUACUGGGCGUAAAGCGCACGUAGGCGGCUUUUUAAGUCAGGGGUGAAAUCCCGGGGCUCAACCCCGGAACUGCCCUUGAAACUGGAGAGCUAGAAUCUUGGAGAGGCGAGUGGAAUUCCGAGUGUAGAGGUGAAAUUCGUAGAUAUUCGGAAGAACACCAGUGGCGAAGGCGACUAACUGGACAUGUAUUGACGCUGAGGUGCGAAAGCGUGGGGAGCAAACAGG
rnacentral:rRNA from 1 species